UACGUAGGGUGCAAGCGUUAAUCGGAAUUACUGGGCGUAAAGCGUGCGCAGGCGGUUCAUGAGAACAGAUGUGAAAUCCCCGGGCUCAACCUGGGAACUGCAUUUGUGACUGUAGAGCUGGAGUACGGCAGAGGGGGAUGGAAUUCCGCGUGUAGCAGUGAAAUGCGUAGAUAUGCGGAGGAACACCGAUGGCGAAGGCAAUCCCCUGGGCCUGUACUGACGCUCAUGCACGAAAGCGUGGGGAGCAAACAGG
rnacentral:rRNA from 1 species